GACGAACGCUGGCGGCGUGCCUAAUACAUGCAAGUCGAGCGAAGUUUUUCUGGUGCUUGCACCGGAAAAACUUAGCGGCGCACGGGUGAGUAACACGUAAAGAACCUGCCUCAUAGACUGGGACAACUAUUGGAAACGAUAGCUAAUACCGGAUAACAGCAUUAACUGCAUGGUUGAUGUUUAAAAGUUGGUUUUGCUAACACUAUGAGAUGGCUUUGCGGUGCAUUAGCUAGUUGGUGGGGUAAAGGCCUACCAAGGCGACGAUGCAUAGCCGACCUGAGAGGGUGAUCGGCCACACUGGGACUGAGACACGGCCCAGACUCCUACGGGAGGCAGCAGUAGGGAAUCUUCCGCAAUGGGCGAAAGCCUGACGGAGCAACGCCGCGUGAGUGAAGAAGGAUUUCGGUUCGUAAAGCUCUGUUGUUAGGGAAGAAUGAUUGUGUAGUAACGAUACACAGUAGAGACGGUACCUAACCAGAAAGCCACGGCUAACUACGUG
rnacentral:rRNA from 1 species